GUCCUGGUGGUUAGUGCGAGGUGGAACUACCUCUUCCCAUUCCGAACAGAGAAGUAAAACGCCUCAGCGCGGACGAUAGUAUGCGGGCAACUGUAUGCGAAAAUACGUCAUCGCCAGGACA
rnacentral:rRNA from 1 species